rnacentral:rRNA from 1 species
GUCUUCCUGUUUUUAUAGGAAGUCUGACCUGCCCAGUGAUUAUUUUAACGGCCGCGGUAUUUUGACCGUGCAAAGGUAGCAUAAUCAUUAGUCUUUUAAAAGGAGGCUGGAAUGAAAGGUUUGACGAGGCAUUAACUGUCUCAAUUUCAAUUAUUAAAAUUUAACUUUUAGGUUAAAAGGCCUAGAUUUUAUUGGAAGACGAGAAGACCCUAUAGAGCUUUAUGGUUAAUAUUUUAUUUUUAUCAUUAUAUUUAUUGUUUUAACUGUUUUGUUGGGGUGAUGAGAAAUACAAAUUUAACUUUUUUAUUUAUAUUUCAUUUAUUUAUGUUGAUUUUUAGAUCCAUUAUUAUUGAUUGUUAGAAUAAGUUACCUUAGGGAUAACAGCGUAAUCUUCUUUUGGAGUUCUAAUUUAUAAGAAGGAUUGCGACCUCGAUGUUGGAUUAAGAUUAUAUUUGGGUGCAGUAGCUCAUUAGUAUAGGUCUGUUCGACCUUUAAAUUCUUACAUGAUCUGAGUUCAGACCGG